rnacentral:rRNA from 1 species
UACGAAGGGUGCAAGCGUUACUCGGAAUUACUGGGCGUAAAGCGUGCGUAGGUGGUGAGUUAAGUCUGUCGUGAAAGCCCCGGGCUCAACCUGGGAAUGGCGAUGGAUACUGGCUCGCUAGAGUGCGGUAGAGGAGAGUGGAAUUCCCGGUGUAGCAGUGAAAUGCGUAGAGAUCGGGAGGAACAUCAGUUGCGAAGGCGGCUAUCUGGACCGUAACUGACGCUGAGGCGCGAAAGCGUGGGGAGCAAACAGG